rnacentral:rRNA from 1 species
GACGAACGCCGGCGGCAGGCUUAACACAUGCAAGUCGAACGCAUCCUUCAGGGUGAGUGGCAGACGGGUGAGUAACGCGUGGGAACGUGCCCUUCAGUUCGGGAUAACCCAGGGAAACUUGGGCUAAUACCGGAUACGUGCGAGAGCAGAAAGAUUUAUCGCUGAAGGAUCGGCCCGCGUCUGAUUAGCUAGUUGGUGGGGUAAUGGCCCACCAAGGCGACGAUCAGUAGCUGGUCUGAGAGGAUGAUCAGCCACAUUGGGACUGAGAUACGGCCCAGACUCCUACGGGAGGCAGCAGUGGGGAAUAUUGCACAAUGGGCGCAAGCCUGAUGCAGCGACGCCGCGUGAGGGAUGACGGCCUUCGGGUUGUAAACCUCUUUCAGCACCGACGAAGCGCAAGUGACGGUAGGUGCGGAAGAAGGACCGGCCAACUACGUGCCAGCAGCCGCCGUAA